rnacentral:rRNA from 1 species
GACGGAGGUGGCAAGCGUUGCUCGGAUUUAUUGGGUGUAAAGGGCGUGUAGGCGGCCCGGCAAGUCGGGCGUGAAAUCCCGGAGCUCAACUCCGGAACGUCGUCCGAGACUGCCAGGCUCGAGGAAGGUAGGGGAGAGUGGAAUUCCCGGUGUAAGGGUGAAAUGCGUAGAUAUCCGGAGGAACACCGGUGGCGAAGGCGGCUUCCUGGACCGACACUGACGCUGAGGCGCGAAAGCUAGGGGAGCAAACGGG